UACGUAGGGGGCAAGCGUUGUCCGGAUUUAUUGGGCGUAAAGAGCGUGUAGGCGGCUUUACAGGUCCGUUGUGAAAACUCGAGGCUCAACCUCGAGACGCCGGUGGAAACCGUAAAGCUAGAGUCCGGAAGAGGAGAGUGGAAUUCCUGGUGUAGCGGUGAAAUGCGCAGAUAUCAGGAGGAACAUCAGUGGCGAAGGCGGCUGCCUGGCCCAAUACUGACACUCAGGUGCGACAGCGUGGGGAGCAAACAGG
rnacentral:rRNA from 1 species